UACGGGGGGGGCAAGCGUUGUUCGGAAUUACUGGGCGUAAAGGGCUUGUAGGCGGCCAACUAAGUCCGACGUGAAAUCCCCAGGCUUAACCUGGGAACUGCGUCGGAUACUGGAUGGCUUGAAUUCGGGAGAGGGAUGCAGAAUUCCAGGUGUAGCGGUGAAAUGCGUAGAUAUCUGGAGGAAUACCGGUGGCGAAGGCGGCAUCCUGGACCGACAUUGACGCUGAGGAGCGAAAGCUAGGGGAGCGAACAGG
rnacentral:rRNA from 1 species